rnacentral:lncRNA from 1 species
GUAAUAUCCCUCGCUUUUGAAAAUUAUUAAUAAAGAUUUAUUUAUAAAUCGGGGGACCUAUAUGUAAAUAUAGAAAUUUCAAGGACUAAACUGUUAAGUUGUAAAAAGAAGAAAAUAAAGAAAACCGAAAAUUUCGAUUUUAUCCCACCGCCUCCCACGCUCUCUCUGUUUCUUCGAGAAACAGAGAGAAGCGGUGGGGCGUGGGGAGAAGAAGAAGAGAAAUAGAGGGAGAAGAGAAGAAGAGGGAAAAGAAGAGAGGAAGAAGAGGAAGAAGAGGGAGAAGAGAAGAAAAGAAG